rnacentral:misc_RNA from 1 species
GAUGAAGAACGUAGCGAAAUGCGAUAAGUAAUGUGAAUUGCAGAAUUCAGUGAAUCAUCGAAUCUUUGAACGCACAUUGCGCCCGCCAGUAUUCUGGCGGGCAUGCCUGUCUGAGCGUCAUUUCAACCCUCAUGCCCCCAGGGCGUGGUGUUGGGGAUCGGCCAAAGCCCGCGAGGGACGGCCGGCCCCUAAAUCUAGUGGCGGACCCGUCGUGGCCUCCUCUGCGAAGUAGUGAUAUUCCGCAUCGGAGAGCGAUGAGCCCCUGCCGUUAAACCCCCAACUUUCCAAGGUUGACCUCAGAUCAGGUAGGAAUACCCGCUGAACUUAAGCAUAUCAAUAAGCGGAGGA